rnacentral:rRNA from 1 species
AACGAACGCUGGCGGCAGGCUUAACACAUGCAAGUCGAGCGCCCCGCAAGGGGAGCGGCAGACGGGUGAGUAACGCGUGGGAAUCUACCCAUCUCUACGGAAUAACGCAUGGAAACGUGUGCUAAUACCGUAUACGUCCUUCGGGAGAAAGAUUUAUCGGAGAUGGAUGAGCCCGCGUUGGAUUAGCUAGUUGGUGAGGUAAAGGCUCACCAAGGCGACGAUCAGUAGCGGGUCUUAGAGGACGAUCCGCCACACUGGAACUGAGACACGGUCCAGACUCCUACGGGAGGCAGCAGUGGGGAAUCUUGGACAAUGGGCGCAAGCCUGAUCCAGCCAUGCCGCGUGAGUGAUGAAGGCCCUAGGGUUGUAAAGCUCUUUCACCGGUGAAGAUAAUGACGGUAACCGGAGAGGAAGCCCCGGCUAACUUCGUGCCAGCCGCCGCCGUAAGAC